GCCUGGGUGGCUCAGUCGGUUGAGCGUCCGACUUCAGCUCAGGUCAAGAUCUCACAGCUUGUGAGUUCAAGCCCCACGUCAGGCU
rnacentral:tRNA from 1 species